rnacentral:rRNA from 1 species
GACGAACGCUGGCGGCGUGCCUAACACAUGCAAGUCGAGCGGGGUUGAAGCGAGGGGUAACUCGAGUUUCUACCUAGCGGCGGACGGGUGAGUAACGCGUGGGCAACCUGCCUCAAGGACUGGGAUAACAGCUCGAAAGGGCUGCUAAUACCGGAUAAGCCUAUGGCCUCGCAUGGGGCCAUGAGCAAAGGGGAAACCCGCCUUGAGAUGGGCCCGCGUCCCAUCAGCUAGUUGGUGAGGUGAAGGCUCACCAAGGCGACGACGGGUAGCCGGCCUGAGAGGGUGACCGGCCACACUGGGACUGAGACACGGCCCAGACUCCUACGGGGGGCAGCAGUGGGGAAUCUUGCACAAUGGGCGAAAGCCUGAUGCAGCGACGCCGCGUGAGCGAAGAAGGCCUUCGGGUUGUAAAGGCUCUGUCUGGAGGGACGAAGGAAGUGACGGUACCGUCCGGAGGAAGCCACGGCUAACUACGUGCCAGCAGCCGCGGUAAACGUAGCGUG